GACGAACGCUGGCGGCGUGCUUAACACAUGCAAGUCGAACGGGUCUGCCCUGUUUUUUGCGGGGUGGGUCAGUGGCGAACGGGUGAGUAACACGUGAGUAACCUGCCCCUCACUUCUGGAUAACCGCUUGAAAGGGUGGCUAAUACGGGGUGUUCUGGCUGUGCCGCAUGGUGUGGCUGGGAAAGAUUCACUUUUGUGGUGUUUUGGUGGGGGAUGGGCUCGCGGCCUAUCAGCUUGUUAGUGGGGUGAUGGCCUGCCAAGGCUUUGACGGGUAGCCGGCCUGAGAGGGUGGGCGGUCACACUGGGACUGAGAUACGGCCCAGACUCCUGCGGGAGGCAGCAGUGGGGGGUAUUGCACAAUGGGCGGAAGCCUGAUGCAGCGACGUCGCGUGAGGGAUGGAGGCCUUCGGGUUGUGAACCUCUUUCGCCGGUGAAGAAGGUCCUGCUCUUUGUGGUGGGGUUGACGGUAGCCGGGUUAUGAAGCGCCGGCUAACUACGUG
rnacentral:rRNA from 1 species